rnacentral:SRP_RNA from 1 species
GGAAAGUCGGCGUUGGACAGGUUCCUCGCGAACCCGGUCAGAUCCGGAAGGAAGCAGCCGCAACGAGAUUUUGCCUGGGUCAGUGUCCGGCUUUCCACC